AGCUCCAAUAGCGUAUAUUAAAGUUGUUGCAGUUAAAAAGCUCGUAGUUGAACUUUGGGCCCGGUUGGCCGGUCCGAUUUUUUCGUGUACUGGAUUUCCAACGGGGCCUUUCCUUCUGGCUAACCUUGAGUCCUUGUGGCUCUUGGCGAACCAGGACUUUUACUUUGAAAAAAUUAGAGUGUUCAAAGCAGGCGUAUUGAUCGAAUAUAUUAGCAUGGAAUAAUAGAAUAGGACGUUUGGUUCUAUUUUGUUGGUUUCUAGGACCAUCGUAAUGAUUAAUAGGGACGGUCGGGGGCAUCAGUAUUCAAUUGUCAGAGGUGAAAUUCUUGGAUUUAUUGAAGACUAACUACUGCGAAAGCAUUUGCCAAGGACGUUUUCA
rnacentral:rRNA from 1 species